rnacentral:lncRNA from 1 species
UUUUGGCUGGACAUCCUUGACCCUAAUCUCUCUCUGGAAUUAGGACUACAAAGUUCAUCGUGAUGAAAUACAUUCGAAGUUGGUACAGAUAAUGCGAGAAAGAUUGCUGGUACACCUUCGGAGUUUGCCACAGAUUGUUGAAAGUUUGAAUAGGCAGGAAGAUACUGACUCACAGCCAAGCCAGUUUGCUCGUUCAAUCACAAAGGUAGAAGUUUGUUUGUUAUAGGUCUCACUGCUUUUUUACCCCAGUUUCCCCAUUUUCCCAACUUUUUUUAAAUUAAGAAAUGUUGUCAAUUGUGAAAGAGAAAGUUAGGGUGGGCUUACUCAUUUUUUAUCAUUUCUCAAUGAUUUCGCAUUUGCUUUUUGCAAAUACAAGAUAUAUAAGUUUUCAUCAUUUUAGAGAUGUUUUUGAAAUCAAUAGAAAUUAAAGGUUUUGCGCGUAUCUCUGUGUAUUGCAGUAAUUUCGAUCCUUCUGGUCUCUUGGUGGAAAUUGAUGACAUGAUCUUUUAUAUUCCUGAGGCAUUUUAAUACACACUGCCUAAAAAAUUGGAUUGCUCACAAUAUGAUAAUCAUAGAUCUCUAUUCUCUUACUCCAUAGCUGACAUGGUCAUGUUUUUCCUUUCCUUUUUUAUGCCAAUUUGUAGGAGAUGGGUACACCAUCAAAGCUCUUUCAAUCUUUUUCAAAUUGACUCAAAAUUAUUUUUGCGCAUGAUGAUUUCAUUUCAAUAAUCAACUGCUACUCCUUUCAAAAGAUGUUUUCUUGCAAUAAAAAAAGGCUAUUAUCUUGCCAUUUCACCACAUUGAUUAUUGACUUCUGAUUGUUGUUGUAUCCCACUUGAAGGAUCUGGGGUGUAUGUUAGUGAGCACAUAUUUCUGGUCUGCGACUUGUUUUUGGUGGUUUUUAAGAUCACAAAUAUGCCAGAAAAAGUAUUAUAUUGAUGUUUUAUUUUUUCAGAUAUUCUUCUGAAUCAUUAUCAACCAAUAGAAGCUUUCAGCUUUUCUAUAGUUUGCCUGUAACUUGGACUAAACAUUUUCUAGUUUCUAUCUUGUAUAUGCAGUAUUGGUGUCGUUAAUUAGAGAAAAAAUUGCAGGUGUCAGGUUUGAAGUCUAUUACUUCUAAGCACUUGGCUUUGACAAGCCAAGUCAUCGGUUUCACAUACACUAUAAUUCCAGGUAGGCAAUGAUGACGAAGCUUUUCACUGGUGGUUCUUAUAUUGUUUCUGGCUUUUGUCUAGUUCCUUGUCUAAUAUUGUAUUCAUUGUUGAUCUUUGGUUUAAGAUAUAUCAAUGUGCUCAGACAUUGUUCCAAUGGAAAUAACAUGUCAUUACCAUUUGUGUAAAGUUUCUACCUGAAUGGUGGUUGGAAUUUAAAGGGGAAAGUAUGCUGUUUAUUUACAUUGUAUCUUUCUACCUCUGUCAGUGUAUAGUUGAAAUCAUUAACAGUGGGAAGUCCAUUGUCCAUCAUACUAAAAAUCAUGUAUUGACAUCUUUCUACUUGAGUGUCUGAAUAAGUAUUCUGAGGAAACCAACCAUUCAGGUUUUCGGUAGAGUUAAUCUAUUUUCAUCAGUGAAUGCAUCCUGCCUUGGGUGUUUUUGCAUUACUCAUGAUCACCUCUGUCAGUUGGUAAUUCUGAAAGCAGCAAGUUCCAUCAAAUCUUAAUAGUUGUAUAAUUCCUUAUUCUUAUUGAGAACUCCUGGUUUACCACAAUCAUGUCAAAAAUUGUUGAUUUCCGACUUGAACCUGUGUCUUUAAUUGCAGAAUCUUACCUAUCUCAUCAGCCAUUUUAUUUUCCCUUCAUCUCUCUGUCCCAUAUGCAUAGUGAUUACAAACCUGAAACUCUGUUGACCAUGCUCAUUUUCUCCAGUUAUUCAGCCUUUCUUCAUUAGACUAUUAAGUGCUACAUCUCUUUUUUCACCCUUUUUUCAUUAGGCUCUUUAGUGCUACAUAUAAUUUUCUCAUUCUUUCUAAUUAGAUUACUUACUUAGUGGGGCCAAUUCAUGAGGUCCCAGGUUCAAGUCCCAGCGAAGACAAAAAUACUAGGUGAUUGCUUUCCAUCUGUCCAAGCCAUGGUGGGUAGAGUUACCCAGUAUCUGUGUUGGUUGGAGGUAGCAGGUACCUAGUGGAAUUAGUCAAGGUACAAACAAUUGGCCAAAAUACCACCAUAUUAAAAAAAUUAGACUACUUAGUACUGCAUUGAGCAGAAAUCAGGCAUGGACCCCUAUCCAUAAAUUAAAAUCCAAAAGGCAUAUACAUAUGGAGGGGGACAUGGUGCCUUACCUCUUCAAAACUAAGUAAUGAUUGAGUGUACUCUACCCUUUACAAUUUUGUGCAGACCUAGUCUAGUUAUCUUGACUUAGUCUAUGAAAGAUUAGAAAAAUACUAGGCUUAGGAGGACUCCUCCUAAUUACAUGUGAUUACUUUAUAUGUUACUUUCUUUAGGCCAUAAAGGGUUUCUUUUCUCAAUAUUAGAGUUGUCUCUUCUUCCUGAUUCCCAAGAUAAAUUGGUAAGGGACACCCAAGAGACAAAAGUAUUUCAUUUUAUCUGAAAAGGAGAGGAGGAUCAAAUUCGUCUAACUCAAUUUGUUGACGGCAGAUGUUAGAAAUCAUCUUGAGUAAUGAUUCUUAUUACUAUUGUUUGAAAUAUGAUAUGGUUGUGUAAUAACGUAUGUUCUCCCUUAACUGCAUAGGAACUGUGUAGAAGUAUUUUUCAUGCUUAAAGAACUUUUAAAAAUUUCUUUGUUACCUAUUGUGUAACUUGUUUCUAUUUCGGACAUUUUGUGUGUUGAAAGAAAUCAAGAGAAUACUGUUUCUGAGAGUGCCUGAAACACACAAGGGAUUGCUAAUGCUGGAGGUUGAUCGAGUAGCACAGGUAAGGAAGAAAUUUUGCUUAUACUUAUUCCAGCAUAUUCCUUCCAUCCUAGUAGAGUAGCACUUGAAGAAUGCAUAUUUUCUGUUUCUUCACCAGCCUUCAAGAUUUUUAAUGAGGUUCCAUUUUCAUUUGUGAAAGUUCCUUGGGUAUUUUUCAUUUUUCUGUUCUUUCUGUUAACUUGAUGUAGAUUCUCUUUUUCUUCUUUUUGGGAGGGUGAGGUUGGGAUAAGGAGGGAGUGUAACUUCAAGGCUUUUAUCCUUUCUUCACUUGUUAAGUUUGGACCACCUUGAUGCCUGUUAGUAUAUUAUUUUUUUACUUAUAAAAGAGAGAUGGCACCCUUUUAAUUGUACUAUAUGUGAGUACGGUAUUGUGUGGAAGAAAACAAAGAACAAAGGGCUUCUUUUUUAAUGUUACCGCUAGUUAUGCAAGUAUGUACCAUAUCAAUCUAUACCUAUCCCACACUAUUCCUUGUAUCUAUUCACAUUUAUUUGUUUUUCUCUCUCAUUCUCAAUAGAAAAUCAACUGCUAUUAUGUUUUAGUGUGUCCCAGUCAAAUAUUUUUCUUUGCUGAGAUCAUUGUACUUUUAAAGCAUCAUAAUCCAAGAUUUUGGCUGGACAUCCUUGACCCUAAUCUCUCUCUGGAAUUAGGACUACAAAGUUCAUCGUGAUGAAAUACAUUCGAAGUUGGUACAGAUAAUGCGAGAAAGAUUGCUGGUACACCUUCGGAGUUUGCCACAGAUUGUUGAAAGUUUGAAUAGGCAGGAAGAUACUGACUCACAGCCAAGCCAGUUUGCUCGUUCAAUCACAAAG